AGAGCAGGGCGCUCUGGGCCUAGCUCAGAGGACAUGCUCCUGAGGCUAGCUAUUUUUCUGCUACUACUCUGGCUAAGAGAGACAUGUAAGGGCUGGAUGUAAACUCCCAGAGGGCACCUCCUGGGCUAGAGAAGAUGCAGCAUGAGCUCAGGUGGGAAGCAAGGAAUUCAACACAACACGAAAUAAUCAACAAAUUCGGGGAAUGUUAAUCUGACCAUCACCAGUUACAAAUGAUGUUUCAUGCUACCUUCUAUUCCUGCCUUCAUAAAUCAAGCUCUAAAUCUCCAGGAAAAAAUGUGCUCAGGAUGGCCAGAGAAAUGUCCUUCCAACUGUGCAUGGAAAGGUAUGAUUUUGUGCAGCAGGUGAAGGACUGGUUAGAGUAAGUGUGUGCUGAGCUUUUGUGUUUGAAAGCGAGCCUGUGCACUUCUAACGAUUGGAAGGUUUCCUUGCCUUCUCCGAUCUUACACACAGCAAGGACAGCAAAGCCUUCCAGACCUGCCUGUGACAUGCACUGCACAUUCUAAAGAUGCCUAUGCAAUGGAAAACACCACUGUCUGCUCCAGCACAGCUGCCAUUCUUCCAUCUUAUCGACCUUAAUGCAACAACUCCUCACAGGCAGAGAUUUUAAAAUGUGUUCUUGGCAGAAGAGAGACUCAAAGAUGGGACAAAUGUGUCAUUUAAAUGCCUGUUAAAAUGGAAACAGACAUAGUAUAGUCAGAGGAUUGUGGCAGCUAAGAACAUAGUCUCUGGAGCAAAUCUGCAUGGGUGGCAAUGCCAAGCACAUGAGGUCCUAGUUGUAUGAACUUAGGAAAAGAAAAAGAGAACAUAUAUCCCCCUACCUUUUGAUUUCCAACAGUCUACUGAGAGGCCAAGAUUAUUUGCAGGGAAAGAAAAGGGGUCAAAAUGUUUUGCCAGUAACUCCCAAAUCAUCUACAGCCAAGGAGAAAAGUGUUUCAAGACAGAGGUGCUCAAUGGUAUCAAAUACUGCCAACAGACCAAGUAAUACAUGCAUUGAAGUGUCUACUGGAUCUAGCUAUAUGAAUUUUUAAUUUAGGACACUUAGGCCAUACUGAAGCAAGGUGACAAAAUGAAUAGCUACAAUGUCUCGUGAAUCUUGGGUUUCCAUUCACCCUGGUAUUCAAGAGAAAUUCUUGCAUCAUGGAAGUUGCAGUUGGAUAGGACUUUCUCAGCUGAACACUGUCAUCUGCCAGAGCUUCAGGCAAGAACCCAGAACAGAUGAAACCCCAGACAUGACAAAAUAAGCCAAAGAAUACCAGGCCAAGGUGUGAAAGGCCAGAUGAGAACAAGCAGCGUACACGAUUCUGUUGCCAACAGAUCUCCCCUAACAGUGUCGUGCACCAAAUUUCCACAGUGAAUGUCAGGAAAAAAUGGCAAUUGAGGUGGGUGGUCAAAAGAGAAGCACAGUCUAUGAUGAAGUCACCCCAGAGAAGUCCUUUUUCCGUUUUCUCCUGAGAAAUUACCAGAAGAAAUUAAAAUCCUUUUGAGUAUUGC
rnacentral:lncRNA from 1 species